GGUUUAAGAGGGUGUUAAUGUUGCAUCCCGGCAUAUUCUACGUGUCGAGUAAGAUUGGCACACAUACUGUGGUAUUAAAGGAGGGUUAUAAAAGGGGAAUGUUGAUUCAGAAGAGCCCGCUGAUGGAAAUGAGAUAUAAGUUUGUUCAUCUCAUGAACAAGAUGACCGAGGAUAAAAAACAAAAAGGCAUACAGCAAAAAGGUAGUCAUGAUCAGAAUGAAGGUGAUGAAAAGGAACCUCACGAUGAUAUGGAAGAAGAAGAAGAAGAAGAUGAGGAUGAUGAGGACUCUGAGGAUGUGUAUAAUGACUACAAUUAUGAUGAAAUGGACAAUGUGUUGAUGGAAAUGAGGUAUAAGUUUGUUCAUCUCAUGAACAAGGUGACUGAGGAUAAAAAACAAAAAGAUAUACAGCAAAAAGGUAGUCAUGAUCAGAAUGAAGGUGAUGAAAAGGAACCUCACGAUGAUGUGGAAGAAGAAGAAGAUGAUGAGGAUGAUGAGGACUCUGAUGAUGUGUAUAAUGACUACAAUGAUGAUGAGAUGGACAAUGAGGGUAGAGAUGUGAAGCGUAACCGGAGGUUGAACUCGAGGACAAGAGUUGAUGAUCAGAAAC
rnacentral:lncRNA from 1 species